rnacentral:rRNA from 1 species
CAAUAGCGUAUAUUAAAGUUGUUGCAGUUAAAAAGCUCGUAGUUGAAUUUCGGGUCCCCGCGCUCGGCGCUUCAUUGUGCCGUCGUGGUGUCCCUCCUCGCCGUAAGGCGUCCUUUACUGUGAAAAAUUAGAGUGUUCAAAGCAGGCAAUCGCUUGAAUACAUUAGCAUGGAAUAAUAAGAUAGGAUCUUGUCUAUUUUGUUGGUUGCGGACAACGAUAAUGAUUAAUAGGGAUAGUUGGGGGUGUCCGUAUUGAGCUGUCAGAGGUGAAAUUCUUGGAUUUGCUCAAGACGAGCUACUGCGAAAGCAUUCACCAAGGAUGUUUUCAUUAA